UACGAAGGGGGCGAGCGUUGUUCGGAAUUACUGGGCGUAAAGCGUGCGCAGGCGGUUCGUUAAGUCAGAUGUGAAAGCCCCGGGCUCAACCUGGGAACUGCAUUUGAAACUGGCGGGCUUGAGUGUGGCAGAGGGGGGUGGGAAUUCCGCGUGUAGCAGUGAAAUGCGUAGAGAUCGGGAGGAACAUCCGUGGCGAAGGCGACUACCUGGACCAGCACUGACACUGAGGCACGAAAGCGUGGGGAGCAAACAGG
rnacentral:rRNA from 1 species